rnacentral:tRNA from 1 species
GGGGAUUUAGCUCAGUGGCAUAAGCACCUGCCUUGCAAGCAGGUGGUCGUGAGUUCGAACCCGUACCG